CCUACGGGAGGCAGCAGUGAGGAAUAUUGGUCAAUGGGCUUACGCCUGAACCAGCCAAGUCGCGUGAGGGAAGACUGCCCUAUGGGUUGUAAACCUCUUUUGUCAGGGAGCAACGCCGGCUACGUUUAGCCGGACUGAGAGUACCUGAAGAAAAAGCAUCGGCUAACUCCGUGCCAGCAGCCGCGGUAAUACGGAGGAUGCGAGCGUUAUCCGGAUUUUUUGGGUUUAAAGGGUGCGUAGGCGGAAUGCCAAGUCAGCGGUAAAAUCGCGGGGCUCAACCUCGCUCCGCCGUUGAAACUGGCGUUCUUGAGUGGGCGAGAAGUAUGCGGAAUGCGUGGUGUAGCGGUGAAAUGCAUAGAUAUCACGCAGAACUCCGAUUGCGAAGGCAGCAUACCGGCGCCCAACUGACGCUGAAGCACGAAAGCGUGGGUAUCGAACAGGAUUAGAUACCCCAGUAGUC
rnacentral:rRNA from 1 species